UAUACAUAUCAAAUUCAUCAUGAUUGAAUUAAUAUAGGCCUAGGAAGCCCCGUGAGUUUCUCUCGGAGGUUCUGUCAAAUUUUCUUACAUUGUUGGUCCGCCCAACAAAGUCCAGUGUGCUCGCUGAGCGAAGCCAAUGAAAAUGCCUCAAAGUCUCCCCUUCACCCUUAUCGGACCGAGUCUCCCGAUCUCAAUGUGUGACAGUAUCCCCUAGGUAGGAGGACCGAGACCGGGUUCACAUUUCAAACCCGUAAAGAAAAGAACCAUCAGGGGAAUGCGCCUGGCGUCGAUCAGACGAACCGCUCAGCUCAGAGAUGACGGAACCCGAGGAUCUUCGGACUACGUUUUUGAUAGACAAGACAAUAGCCUACAUCUGGCGACAGUGAGGAAGAACAAGCCUCAACUUUCCCCUGCACUGGUUUCGACCAGAGGGAGAAAUGCACUCUCAUCCAAAUUUGCUUUCACUGACACAGUCUUGUGUCAUAUUUGCCCAAGAAAAAUAAGAAUGUCAUCCUGAUGAGCACUCGACACAAAUACGCCACUGUCAGCAAAGCAGAGCACAGGAAGCCCCAGCUCAUCCUGGACUACAACAGAAACAAAGGAGGCGUUGACUGCCUUGAUAAGCUUACUGGUACAUACACCUGCAAGUGAAUGACAGCUCGUUGGCCUGUGGCAGUGUUCCACAACAUCCUUGAUGUGUCUGCAUGUAAUGCAUAUGUGGUGUGGACAGCGAUCGACCCAGCCUGGAAUCAGGGGAAAUGUUUCAAGGGGAGACUCUUCCUGGCAGAGCUUGGGAAAGCUUUAGUGACUCCUAUAAUUCAACGGCGCCAGCACCUUCCCCGCACACCAGCCUAUGGCAGUCUGGUGAGGAGUCUGCAAGCCCCAGCCACUGCCCUGGCCGCUCGCCCCCCAAAACAGGGGCAGAAACGGAAGAGACGCAAGCUCUGUGCCCCCAGAGACAAUAAGACAAGUCUUACAUGUUUCAAAUGUGAUGCAAACGUUUGCAAGGCACACUGCGACCUGAUUGCAAAAUGCCACUCCUGUGUUUGAACACACACACACACACACACACACACACACACACACACACACACACACACACACACACACACACACACACACACACACACACACACACACACACACACACACACACACAGUGUUCAUGUUGAUGUUCUGUGAAUUUGGUCUGUUUUGAUUUUUCUGUCUUUUCUUUUUUUUACAAUAAAUGUUAAUUUUGGAAUACAACUUUCAAUUUCUGUGACUAUUCACUGCAGUAAUUCAUGUAAACCAGUAGUCUGAGACAUUGUUUACAGGUUAAAAGGGAGUUCAAUAAAAUUAGGUAAUGAUCA